rnacentral:misc_RNA from 1 species
GGAAAAGGCGGCAGCAUAAAAUAUACUGAUAAAUGGGCAGAGCGCUUUGAAGGAGACGGUUGGUCAAAAUGGGGUGAUAAAUGGGAUGAGAACUUUGAUCUAAAUGGACAUGGCGUGAAGCAAGGGGAGACAUGGUGGGCAGGAAAACAUGGAGAACGCUGGAAUCGUACUUGGGGAGAGGGCCACAAUGGUUCAGGAUGGGUUCACAAGUAUGGAAAG